GGUUGAUCCUGCCAGUAGUCAUAUGCUCAGU
rnacentral:rRNA from 1 species